rnacentral:rRNA from 1 species
GAUAAACGCUGGCGGCGCACAUAAGACAUGCAAGUCGAACGGACUUAACCAUUAGUUUACUAUUGGAGCGGUUAGUGGCGGACUGGUGAGUAACACGUAAGCAACCUGCCUGUUAGAGGGGAACAACAGUUAGAAAUGACUGCUAAUACCGCAUAUGCCUUAACUAUCGCAUGAUAGAAGAGGGAAAGGAGAAAUUCGCUAACAGAUGGGCUUGCGUCUGAUUAGAUAGUUGGUGGGGUAACGGCCUACCAAGUCGACGAUCUAUAGCUGGUCUGAGAGGACGAUCAGCCACAUUGGAACUGAGACACGGUCCAA